AUAGUUUUAGUUAAAUGAAAAUUACUAUUGAUUUAUAAACAAUAAAAGGUAGAAUUUAAUUGUUGUUUUGUAUGAAAACUAUUAAUUAAAAUUGAAACUAUAAAAUCUAAUUAUAAACUAGGAUUAGAUACCCUAUUAUUUUAGAAAAAAAAAAGAAAACUAAAUUAGUAUUAGUUAUAUACUUUAAAAUUAAAAAAUUUGGCGGUGAUUUAAUCUUUUCAGAGGAAUUUGUUUUUUAAUCGAUAAUCCACGGAAAAUCUUACUUGUUUUUGUUAAAAUAUAAUUUAUGUCAGUUUGUAUACCAUCAUUAUCAGAUAAUUCUAAAAAGACAAAUUAUCAAAUUUAAUUGAUUAUCAAAAUUAGAUCAUGGUGCAGCUUAUAGACAAGUUAAAAUGAGUUACAAUAAAUUAUUUUAGAUGGAUUAAUAAGUUAAUUUUUAUUAUGAAGGAGGAUUUGAUAGUAUUAUAAUUUUAAUAAGUUUAUAAGACAAUGGCUCUAAAUCAUGUACAUAUCGCCCGUCGCUUU
rnacentral:rRNA from 1 species